GGAGUAACAGCAGAUAAAAAAGACGUGAUACCUUUCGAAUCCCCUUCUCCGAAUUUUGGAAUCCAUCGCUACCAGUUCUUACUGUAUCCACAGAAAGGCAAAACUGUCAUGUUAAAAUCGAAGCUGGCAUUAACUCGACUAUUUCGUGUUGCUGAAUUUGAA